rnacentral:rRNA from 1 species
CGGGGAACCUUACCAAGGCUUAAAUGUAGAUUGACAGGUUGGAAACAGACUUUUCUUCGGACAAGUUUACAAGGUGCUGCAUGGUUGUCGUCAGCUCGUGCCGUGAGGUGUUGGGUUAAGUCCCGCAACGAGCGCAACCCUCAUUGUUAGUUACUACCAUUCAGUUGAGGACUCUAAUGAGACUGCCAACGAUAAGUUGGAGGAAGGUGGGGAUGACGUCAAAUCAUCAUGCCCUUUAUGACCUGGGCUACAAACGUACUACAAUGGCCGGUACAAAGAGAUGCGAAGUGGCGACAUGGAGCGAACCUCAGAAAGCCGGUCUCAGUUCAGAUUGAAGUCUGCAACUCGACUUCAUGAAGGCGGAAUCGCUAGUAAUCGCGGGUCAGCAGACCGCGGUGAAUACGUUCCCGGGUUUU